UACAGAGGUCCCAAGCGUUGUUCGGAUUCACUGGGCGUAAAGGGUGCGCAGGUGGGUUUGCAAGUUUGAUGUGAAAGCCCCGGGCUUAACCCGGGAAUGGCAUUGAAUACUGCAGAUCUGGAGGAUUGGAGGGGGACUGGAAUUCUUGGUGUAGCAGUGAAAUGCGUAGAUAUCAAGAGGAACACCGGUGGCGAAGGCGGCAUCCUGGACCGGCAUUGACGCUGAGGCGCGAAAGCCAGGGGAGCAAACGGG
rnacentral:rRNA from 1 species